rnacentral:lncRNA from 1 species
GGCUCAAUAGUUGAACUCGAAUCAUUAGAUUGGUCAAAUUGAAACUAAUUAAUUAAUUGAUGUCUAAGAUAAGUUUGAUAUUUCGAUCGAUGUCUGAUCAAUUUGAUAAAUUAUAUUUUGAUUAGAUCACUAAGUGAUUCGAGUUAAUCCAUACCAUUAAAGUUGAUCAGUAUGACUGAUUUAGGUGUCAGUUCGACCAGC